rnacentral:rRNA from 1 species
UACGUAGGGUGCAAGCGUUGUCCGGAAUUACUGGGCGUGAAGCGUGCGCAGGCGGUUAUGUAAGACAGGUGUGAAAUCCCCGGGCUUAACCUGGGAACUGCAUUUGUGACUGCAUAGCUAGAGUACGGUAGAGGGGGAUGGAAUUCCGCGUGUAGCAGUGAAAUGCGUAGAUAUCAGGAGGAACACCUGUGGUGUAGACGGCUCUCUGGACCGCAACUGACGCUGAGACACGAAAGCGUGGGUAGCAAACAGG